UGCAGCCGCGGUAAUUCCAGCUCCAAUAGCGUAUAUUAAAGUUGUUGCAGUUAAAAAGCUCGUAGUUGAAUUUCGGGAUCAAUAUGUUGGUCAUGCCUUGGUACGUACUAAUUUAUUGGUUUCUUCCUUCUGACGAACCAUGAUGUCAUUAAUUUGGUGUUAUGGGGAAUCAGGACUGUUACUUUGAAAAAAUUAGAGUGUUUAAAGCAGGCUCACGCUUGAAUACAUUAGCAUGGAAUAAUGAAAUAGGACGUUUGAUUCUAUUUUGUUGGUUUCUAGGAUCGACGUAAUGAUUAAUAGGGAUAGUUGGGGGCAUUAGUAUUCAAUUGUCAGAGGUGAAAUUCUUGGAUUUAUUGAAGACUAACUACUGCGAAAGCAUCUGCCAAGGAUGUUUUCAUUAAUCAAGAACGAAAGUUAGGGAUCGAAGACGAUCAGAUACCGUUAUAGUCU
rnacentral:rRNA from 1 species